rnacentral:sRNA from 1 species
ACAUACAAGCAGCGUGCCAUCCUCCAAGCCAGAUAUAAAAAUAAUGCAGCCAUUCUCUUUGACGCUUAGCUCAUACGGUCCUCGGGUAUUGUGCUCAAUGUUUCUCCAUCGUGUCAAAUUCACUUCAUCCACGUUGAAGAACUUGUCAUAUCCUCGAAUAGCGAUUUCAUAUUGAUUUUUCUCAUUUCUGGUCGUAAACAAACCACGCGCAUAGGUUGGCAAGUCAUCCCGCUUGUAAUCCCAAUCCUGGAACCUCCACGAGUCCACACUGAUAUCUGAUCCCGAAACAGGAAAGGUGCUCUUCUUGCAGGAAAAUGUCUUUUUCCCCAGCUGUUUCUUCUUACCGCUUGCAGCCUCUAAGCUAUGAACAAGCCGAGUGACCUCGUGGACAUCUUGUUGAACCAUGAUUUUGACGUAUGAAAUGAAUAUUUGAACGAGUGAGAUAUCAGGCUGUCCAACAUGCGGGGUAGGGGAACGACGUGUCGAGUUCAAAAGCAAAGUACUUAUGCGGGGUCGCUACUCUAGUUGCUGGAGAAGAUCUAUGAAACAAUUUAUUCAAAAUUCACAGGGC